GUAGACUGGGAGCGUGCAGGUCAGAUCGCUCACGGGCGAUCUGUUAAACGGGAAGCCGGUGUAAAUCCGGCGCUGUCCCGCAGCGGUGAUGGGAACGAAAGGUGGCACGGCGCAAGCCAAGCACUGUCUCCUCAGGAGAUGGGAAGCGGCCAUCCGGUAGAUUGCCCAGAGUCCGAAUACCGGCCUGCCGCCACCACCAUGG
rnacentral:ncRNA from 2 species